rnacentral:pre_miRNA from 1 species
CAUCUUACAAGGCAGUUUUGGAUGUUAUAUCUUCUCUAAUACUGCCUGGUAAUGAUGCA